rnacentral:rRNA from 1 species
UACGUAGGGGGCUAGCGUUGUCCGGAAUCAUUGGGCGUAAAGCGCGCGUAGGCGGCCCGGUAAGUCCGCUGUAAAAGUCAAAGGCUCAACCUUUGAAUGUCAGUGGAUACUGCCGGGCUAGAGUCCGGAAGAGGCGAGUGGAAUUCCUGGUGUAGCGGUGAAAUGCGCAGAUAUCAGGAGGAACACCUAUUGCGAAGGCAGCUCGCUGGGACGUAACUGACGCUGAGACGCGAAAGCGUGGGGAGCAAACAGG